AUACGUAGGGAGCGAGCGUUGUCCGGAAUUACUGGGUGUAAAGGGAGCGUAGGCGGGAGUGCAAGUCAGAUGUGAAAUACAUGGGCUCAACCCAUGGGCUGCAUUUGAAACUGCAUUUCUUGAGGGAAGUAGAGGUAAGCGGAAUUCCUGGUGUAGCGGUUAAAUGCGUAGAUAUCAGGAGGAACACCGGUGGCGAAGGCGGCUUACUGGGCUUUUACUGACGCUGAGGCUCGAAAGCGUGGGGAGCAAACAGGAUUAGAUACCCUGGUAGUCCACGCUGUAAACGAUGAUUACUAGGUGUGGGGGGACUGACCCCUUCCGUGCCGCAGUUAACACAAUAAGUAAUCCACCUGGGGAGUACGGCCGCAAGGUUGAAACUCAAAUGAAUUGACGGGG
rnacentral:rRNA from 1 species